rnacentral:lncRNA from 1 species
AUCUCCAAACGAUCCCCACACUUGUCAGUGGAAAAAGUGUCUUCCGUGAAACCAGUCCCUGGUGCCAAAAAGGUUAGGGACUGCCAGUUUAAAUAACCAAAUGCUAAAAGAACUGGCAUAGAGGUAAAUGGGCUGCUGCUUUAUUUUUAGGCUGUUCUUUUUAGAGAACAAUGACAGUUAUUUCCAAGUUUGUCAUUAGAAAAUAAUAUUAGGUUGGAGCAAAAGUAAUUGCAGUUUUUGCCAUUGCUUUCAAUGGUAAAAGGCACAAUUACUUUUGCAGCAACUUAAUAUUAUAAAUUUGUUCCUUAAAGUGUAUUUUUGAUAAGAAAGCCCUUUUGUUUUUCCUUCUGUUAAUUUUUUGUUUUUUUCUUGGUAGAGACAGAGUCUUGCCAUGCUGCCCAGGCUGGAGUGCAGUGAUGUGAUCUCGGCUCACUGCAGCCUCCACCUCCCGGGCUCCAGCAGUCCUCCCACCUCAACCUCCCUAAGAGCUGAGACUACAGUGCACAGCCAGAGAACAACACAUCACACACAAGAAACAGUUGUGCUCAUGUGAUGGGGGCCUCAGCACUAGGAAGGAGUGGACUGUUGGCGCACGCAGCAGCUUGAAUAAAUCUGAAAGUCACUACGCUGCGUAAGAGAAGCCAAAUAAAGCGCAUGCUGUGUACAGAGGGUGUCGAGAAUGUGUCCUACGUGACGGAAAGCAGAUCCGUGGUUCCCUGCAGACUGGCAGGAGCAGAUUCCAAAGGCACAGGAAGAAGCUUGCAGUACAAAGAUAAAAAUCUAAAGUGGUUGCUGUGGAGGACAGGGGUCAGUGGUGGAAGUGAGACCGAAAUAGACUCUGAAGUAAUAUCUGGACUUUGAAAUUGUUUCCUUAACGACAACAAAAAAGGGAGUAAUCCUACCUACUGUAAGAGUCAUGACUCUUGAUUGCAGCUGACAGAAACUCAUGACAGCCUGGUUUAGAUAAAGGGGGAGAGAAGGACUGGAAGAAUCUUGGAGUUGGGAA